rnacentral:lncRNA from 1 species
CUUCACAAGAGCAGAGAGAAACCUGUCUGCGGAAUCUUAUAUGUUUAAUAUUUCAAGGAGCAUUCAGAGGUUUCCAGAGCAUUUCUCUAAGCAUCUGACUCUACAGCUGACUGUACUCAGCUAAUUAAAAGGUCUCUGAUGGAAGCAAGAUACAUGCCCAGAACCUGUUUCAGGAUAUGUGAAAUAACAGAAUUUGAGCAUGCAGGACAUUCUUCAAGGCUGUUUCUCAAGCCAUAUCCAUUCUCUACUGUUUGUCUGGAUGAUCCACCUCCAUGAUUUUCUACAGCACAUCUUAUAAAAGCUAAAUUCAACUUUGAAUGCAAAAAAUUAUUCACUUACUUUUCAGAGGUGCUAGAAGGAAACUUUUGUUAAUGUUUUGACUUUAAUAAACUGCAUGCUUCUUGUUCUCA